UACGAAGGUGGCGAGCGUUACUCGGAAUGACUAGGCGUAAAGGGCAGGUAGGCGGCUCGGAAAGUCUGUUGUGAAAGCUCCUGGCUUAACUGGGAGAGGCCAACGGAAACUGUCGGGCUUGAGUAUAGGAGAGGGUACUGGAAUUCCCGGUGUAGCGGUGAAAUGCGCAGAUAUCGGGAGGAACACCGAUGGCGAAAGCAAGUACCUGGACUAUUACUGACGCUCAGCUGCGAAAGCUAGGGGAG
rnacentral:rRNA from 1 species